UAUGGAGAGUUUGAUCCUGGCUCAGGAUGAACGCUGGCGUCGUGCCUAAUACAUGCAAGUCGAGCGAACUGAAGAGCAGCUUGCUCCUUUGACGUUAGCGGCAGACGGGUGAGUAACACGUGGGUAACCUACCUAUAAGACUGGAAUAACUCCGGGAAACCGGGGCUAAUGCCGGAUAAUAUGUUGAACCGCAUGGUUCAACAGUGAAAGACG
rnacentral:rRNA from 1 species